rnacentral:rRNA from 1 species
UGGGGGAUAUUGCACAAUGGGCGAAAGCCUGAUGCAGCGACGCCGCGUGGGGGAUGAAGGCCUUCGGGUUGUAAACUUCUUUUGCUCUGAACAAGGCAUGCCUUUGGGGUGUGUUGAGUGUAGGGGUUGAUUAGCGCCGGCUAACUACGUGCCAGCAGCCGCGGUAAUACGUAGGGCGCGAGCGUUGUCCGGAAUUAUUGGGCGUAAAGGGCUUGUAGGUGGCUGGUUGCGUCUGUCGUGAAAGCUCAUGGCUUAACUGUGGGUUUGCGGUGGGUACGGGCUGGCUUGAGUGCAGUAGGGGAGGCUGGAAUUCCUGGUGUAGCGGUGGAAUGCGCAGAUAUAAGGAGGAAUACCGGUGGCGAAGGCGGGUCUCUGGGCUGUUACUGACGCUGAGGAGCGAAAGCGUGGGGAGCGAACAGG